AUUGAGGUCUCUCCCAAUGGGGCUUUUUCUAUUAGCCUACAUUGUUGGAAACACCUCACAGAGUAAAUAUGUGGAUUUGUUUUUAUUCACAGAAUUAUGUGAGUAAAUUAUGUGUUACAUCUGUGGGAAAUAACUAUAAGACAGAG
rnacentral:snoRNA from 1 species